rnacentral:tRNA from 1 species
ACAGGUUCAAAUCCUGUCAUCCCUA